UACGUAGGCAGCAAGCGUUGUUCGGAAUUACUGGGCGUAAAGAGUGUGUAGGCGGUGCUCUAAGUUCGGUGUGAAAUCUCCCGGCUCAACUGGGAGGGUGCGCCGGAAACUGGGGUGCUGGAGCGCGGGAGAGGAAAGCGGAAUUCCUGGUGUAGCGGUGAAAUGCGUAGAUAUCAGGAGGAACACCGGCGGUGUAGACGGCUUUCUGGACCGUAGCUGACGCUGAGGCACGAAAGCGUGGGUAGCAAACAGG
rnacentral:rRNA from 1 species